rnacentral:lncRNA from 1 species
AUUCGAUCAACUCCAUGUGGUACCACCCUGGCCAUUUGGAACUGAGUCCACCAGGUAGUGCCUGUCACCAUAUCUAGAGCCAGUAAAGAGAAUGUAAAAGCUGUGUGCCAGGAACCAUCUUUUAAACACAAGAACUAUUCUCUCGCUUUGCAAAACCAAGCCAACUGUCACAAGUUCAGCCACGUUCAGGCCUCACUUUCCUACGUGGAGGUGUAGAGGACCCUUGGUUUUCUGUGGACUGUCAUGCCCUCCUCUCCAUGACAUUAUUAACCUGCAACCUCUGUGGGGAAGAGUCCUAAAGAACCACUAAGCUAAGACCGUGAGGCAAGAAAGGGGAGCACAGGUUAAAGUUUUGACCCGACUCGGGCUUGGAUCUCACACCAGCUUGGAGAGCCUGUUCUGUGUCCUUACUGGAAGAGAAAAACAGAAGCACUCUUUUAAUGCAAGUUCCCCUUCACUCUUCUCUGGAGUGGCUCACUGUUGAGCACGAUGCUAGAAAGUUCCUUGAAACUUUUCUCCAGGUUCUUCCUGGGCCCCUCAAAGGCACAGUUAUGACCCGCUGGCUGCAGAAAGCCCUGGCUAUCCCACAGGAUCACAAGGGAUGGAAGAAAGGAAGGAAUGUGGCCUUCUCUGCUAAGCUGUGAGCCCAGGUUCUUCCCUAUCCCCUCUUACUCUGCAGUCAGAACGUCAGAAAACCAAUGGAAUCGCCAUGUCAGGUUCAAGGUGAGCAGAAGAGAAGCAAAACGAAGCUUGGUGCCCUCCAUCCACCCUCACGGCACUGAUGGAGUCGUCCUCCUGCUUUCUGGUUUGUCUGUGUGCUCGCCUUGCUCGCUUUGGUCGUCCUUUCUCCACAGACACCUUCUCCCAGGGGUGGUUGUCUCCCUUUUCAAUCUGACCCACUUGAGAGGAUGGGAACUGCAGUCCUCUGAAUGACCGGAAAAGCAGCUCCGUUGGCCUGUAUGUUUUGUAAGAUUUGCUGACACAUCGGCUCAGUGGAUUCUGGUCUGGUCCAGCUCUCUCUACACCUAUGGGGUCCUUGCUCUGUGAAGAUGGCCUGAAUAGUCCUUUGAUGGAUGGUAAUGAGGAGCAAAGGAGUCCUCCUGCCUCCACCUACCAAGUGCUGGGAUUACGAUGUAAUCCGUUUUCAACUUGUGGAUCUUGACCCCUUUGGGGCUCCAACAACCCUUUCACAGGGAUCACAUAGCAGAUAUCCGGCAUAUUAGAUAUUUACAUUACAAUUCAUAACAUUAAUAAAAUUAAAGUUAUGAAGUAGCAAUGAAAACAAUUGUAUGGUUGGGAGUCACCACACCAUGAGGAACUAAAUUAAAGGGUCACAGCAUUAGGGAGGUUGGAAACCGGUGGGUUACAAGCAUAAACCACCUGGC